UGGGUAACCUGCCCUGUACACACGGAUAACAUACCGAAAGGUAUGCUAAUACGAGAUAAUAUGCUUUUAUCGCAUGGUAGAAGUAUCAAAGCUUUUGCGGUACAGGAUGGACCCGCGUCUGAUUAGCUAGUUGGUGAGGUAACGGCUCACCAAGGCGACGAUCAGUAGCCGACCUGAGAGGGUGAUCGGCCACAUUGGAACUGAGACACGGUCCAAACUCCGUACGGGAGCAG
rnacentral:rRNA from 1 species